UCUACGGGUGGCAGCAGUGGGGAAUAUUGCACAAUGGGGGAAACCCUGAUGCAGCAACGCCGCGUGGGUGAAGAAGUAUUUCGGUAUGUAAAGCCCUAUCAGCAGGGAAGAGAAUGACGGUACCUGACUAAGAAGCCCCGGCUAACUACGUGCCAGCAGCCGCGGUAAUACGUAGGGGGCAAGCGUUCUCCGGAUUUACUGGGUGGAAAGGGAGCGUAGAGGGUUGUGCAAGUCUGAAGUGAAAGCCCGGGGCUCAACUGCGGAACGGCUUUGGAAACUGUGUAACUGGAGUGCUGGAGUGGUAAGCGGAAUUCCUGGUGUAGCGGUGAAAUGCGUAGAGAUCAGGAGGAACACGGCGGCGAAGGCGGCUUACUGGACAGUAACUGACGUUGAGGCUCGAAAGCGUGGGGAGCAAACAGGAUUAGAUACCCUAGUAGUC
rnacentral:rRNA from 1 species